CGAGUUGGCCGGGCGGCCGCGGGAGCUAAUCCUUCCGAGGAACGUCCGGGCUCCACAGGGAACGGUGGUGGAUAACGUCCACUCGGGGUGACCCGCAGGCUAGUGCCACAGAAAGUAAACCGCCGAAAGGUAAGGGUGAAAGGGGGAGGCAAGAGCUCACCGCGUGGCCAGUGAUGGUCGCGGCACGGUAAACCCCACCGGGAGCAAAACCGAGCAGCGCACGUUGAGGCGUCCCGCUCAGUGCGCGGGUUGGUUGCUUGAGCCUGUCGGUAACGGCAGGCCUAGAUGGAUGGUCGCCGCGUGCAAAGCCCAAGGGACUAGCACGUACAGAACCCGGCGUAUAGGCCAACUCGCGCC
rnacentral:RNase_P_RNA from 1 species